rnacentral:rRNA from 1 species
GACGAACGCUGGCGGCGUGCCUAAUACAUGCAAGUCGAGCGGAUGGAAGGAAGCUUGCUUCCUAAAGUCAGCGGCGGACGGGUGAGUAACACGUGGGCAACCUGCCCCUAAGAUUGGGAUAACUUCGGGAAACCGGAGCUAAUACCAGAUAUGAUUAUGUCUCACAUGAGACAUAAUGGAAAGACGGUUUCGGCUGUCACUUAGGGAUGGGCCCGCGGCGCAUUAGCUAGUUGGUGAGGUAACGGCUCACCAAGGCGACGAUGCGUAGCCGACCUGAGAGGGUGAUCGGCCACACUGGGACUGAGACACGGCCCAGACUCCUACGGGAGGCAGCAGUAGGGAAUCUUCCGCAAUGGGCGAAAGUCUGACGGAGCAACGCCGCGUGAGUGAAGAAGGUUUUCGGAUCGUAAAACUCUGUUGUUAGGGAAGAACAAGUACCAUAGUAACUGAUGGUACCUUGACGGUACCUAACCAGAAAGCCACGGCUAACUACGUGCCAGCCGCCGCGGUAAAAC